CCCCGCGCCGGAGCCGGAGGGGAUGCGGGCCCACGGGGACCCCCGCGCAGAAACUUACCCGACGGGGACACAGGAGGGCAGGAGAGCCCGAAGGACUGGCGAUGCCGACCCUGAGGCUGGCAUCCGUGACGCACCACAUCGGGUCAUCUGGGUAUCCGGGGUUUCCAGGGGUGUGUUCCUCUGGGUGCCUCUGCGCCUCUGGCAUCCAGCCACCCCAGGUCCUGGCUCCAGGAAACCGAGGCUGCCAUGGGUGCGGGGAGUGGACUGGGGAGGGGGUGAGGACGCACCUGCUAGGUACCUCUUGGUGCCUGGGCUGGGACACCCUACCCAUCCGAAGCGAAACAGACUGCACUUAUCAGAGUUCUCCCGGGAAACAGACCAUAGAGAAAGGGAAACAGCGAGAGAGAGACAGAGAUUUGGGCUGAUUUUACAGAAGCGGCUCCCAGGAUGGAGUGGAUAUGCAGUCCCGAGUCGGGAGGCGGGGCUGAGGUAGCCAGCAUUCCUUCCUCCCCGUCUUUUCUCCUAAGACUUUGAACUGAUUGGAUGAACCCCACUCACGCCGUGGAAGAUGAUCUGCUUUACUCAAGUCUACUGAUUUAAAUGUUAGUUGCAUCUAAAAAUAAUACCUUUGCUAGGCUGUCUCAGUCCAUAGAUCCUGCGACUCUUAAUCUUAGUGUUGUAAGUUCAAGCCCCACGUUAAGUGUAGAGAUUAAUACUUUUUUUAAUGCCUUCACAGCAACAUCUAUCUAGGCUGAUGUUUCAGCCAACAUGUGGGUGUCAUGGGCUGGCCAAGUUGACAUAAAUUAACGAUGAUGGGGUCCUAACAAGCACUAGGCUUUUUUCUUACCAGUAAGGGAUGCAAGGUUCAAAAGCUUACUUCUACUUGGGAUAUGUCACAGUACCUGCCAGACCAGGAACAGUCGCUCCCGAGGUCCUCAGAGAUGCUGGUGUCUCCUCUCAACUGUGCAAGUGUUAUUUCCCGGGGAAGCUGGCAUUUCCUCUAGUCAGCAGGGAGUUUCUGCUGUGACACUAUAGGACCGCUCUAGGGUGCCGUGUCUGUCCCUUCUGAUUCCUUUCUCCACAGUGAGCCGUGGCAUUUCUGGCAACUCUACUUUAUUUAAUGAAGCCUUGCCGGCUGUGAGUUACAACCAGGUUGAGAGACCCUGGUCAGGGUGUGAAGGCCUGUGUCAGAGAAGAGUCCCCUACAGUCACCUCUCCCUUUCCAUGCACCCCCCCCCCACGCCAUUCCAAGUGUCCCGUCUUCCCUCCCGCACUCUGAUGACGGCGGUGGCAGAGGACGUUCACCUUUUCCUCAAGAUCUGCUACGUUUCAACUGAGGCUCCCAGUCUGCGCUUGGGCUUUGUUGGCCGAAGGGCACGUGGGUUGCUCUGGGUUCUGCCAAAGUGCUUUCAGUGGGUAAUUAGCUGACUUGAGUCUGUUCUUUUGUGUCCGUGCGGUAAAGCUGCUCAACAGCGACCUAACCGCGGAGGUGAAAGUCCUGUACUCCGAGCACUGAUAGAACACCGAUGAAAGAAUUCAAGACGACACAAAAAAUGGAAAGACAUUCCGUGCACGUGGAGUGGAUGUACAAGUAUUGUUUAAAUGUCUAUACUGCCCAAGGCAAUUUACACACUUAAUGCAAUCCCUACCAAAUACCCACAGCAUUUUUCACAGAACUAGAACAAAGAAUCCUAAAGAUCCUAAAAGACUCUGAACAGCCAAAGCAAUCUUGAAAAAGCAAAGCAAAGCCGGUGGCCUCACAAUUCUGGACUUCAACUUACGUCAUGAAGCUGUAGUGAUCUAAACAAUAAGGCACUGGCAUGAAAUUGGACACAUCGAUCAAUAAAACAGAACAGAAAACCCAGAAUUAAGCCCACGACCCUAUGGUCAGUGAAUCUUCGACAACGUAGGAAUGGAUAGCCAGUGGGAAAAAGACUCCAUCUGCAAAAAGUGCUGUUGGCGAAAUUGGACCACUUUCGUACAGAAUACACAAAAAACAAAUUCAAGAUGGAUUAAAGACCUAAAUGUGAGACCUGAGACCAUAAAAGCCCUAGAGGAGAACACAGGCAGUAACACUUUAGACAUGAGCCAUAGCAAUAUCUUUCAAGAUACACCUCCUGAGGCAAGGGAACAAAAGCACAAAUAAACUAUUGGGACCUCAUCAAAAUAAAAACUUCACAGCAAAGGAAAUAAUCAACAGAACUUAGGCAUCCUAUGCAAUGGGAAAAGAUAUGUGCAAAUAACAUAUUUGGUAAAGCAUUAGUGUCCAAAAUAUAUAAAGAACUUGUACAAAUCAACACCCAAAUAAACAAAUAAUCCAAAUUAAAAAUGGACACAGGGCAACCGGCUGGCUCAGUCAGUGGAGCAUGCAACUCCUGAGCUCAGGGUUGUGAGUUCUAGCCCCAUGUUGGGUGUAGAGAUCACUGAAAAAUAAAAUCUUAAAAAAGGUUUUUUUUUUCCUUAAUAAAAAUGGGCAGAAGACAUAAACAGACAUUUUCCCAAAGAAGACAUACAGAUGACCACAGAGACACGAUAAGACGUUCACCAUCCCUCAUCACCAGGGAAACGCCAAUCAGACCUACAAUGAGCUAUCACCUCACACCUGUCGGAAUGGCUAAACUCAACAACACAAAAAGCAACAGGUGUUGGCGCUGCUGGUGGGAAUUCGAACUGGCGCAGCCGCUCUGGAAAAGGGCGGAGGCUCCUCAGGAAGUUAAAAAUAGAACCGCUGUAUGACCCAGCAGUUGCACUACUGAGUAUUUACCCAAAGAAUACGGGAGCACUAAUUCAAAGGGAUACGUACAUCGUGCUAUUUCUAGCAGCUUUAUCUACAACAGCCAAAUAUUGGAAGCAGCCCGUGUAUCCACUGAUUGAUGAAUGGAUAAAGGAGAUGUGGUAUAGGGGCGUUCGGGGGGCUCAGUGAGUUAAGUGUCCAGCUUCGGCUCAGGUCAUGAUCUCAUGGUUCGUGGGUUCGAGCCCCGCAUCAGGCUCUGUGCUGACCGCUCAGAGCCUAGGGCCUGUCUUCGGAUUCUGUGUCUCCCUCGCUCUCUGGCCCGCCCCUGCUCGCGCGUGCACACUGUCUCUCAAAAAUAAAUAAAAAACAUUAAAAAAAAAAGAUGUGGUAUAUAUGCACCAUGGAAUAUUACUCAGCCAUAAAAAAUAAUGAAAUCUUGCCAUUUGCAAUGACAAAGAUGAAUCUACAGUGUAUUACGCUGAGCAAAAUAGGUCAGAGAAAGACAAAUAGCAUAUGAUUUCACUCAUAUGUGGGAUUUAAGAAACAAAACAAGCAAAGGGAAAAGAAUAAGAAAGAGACAAACCAAGAAACAAACUCUUAAUUAUAGAGAAGAAACCAAUGGUUCCCAGAGGGGAGAGAGUGGGCGGAUGGG
rnacentral:lncRNA from 1 species